rnacentral:rRNA from 1 species
AUUGAACGCUGGCGGCAGGCUUAACACAUGCAAGUCGAGCGGGGUGAUGGUGCUUGCACUAUCACUUAGCGGCGGACGGGUGAGUAAUGCUUAGGAAUCUGCCUAUUAGUGGGGGACAACAUCUCGAGAGGGAUGCUAAUACCGCAUACGUCCUACGGGAGAAAGCAGGGGAUCACUUGUGACCUUGCGCUAAUAGAUGAGCCUAAGUCGGAUUAGCUAGUUGGUGGGGUAAAGGCCUACCAAGGCGACGAUCUGUAGCGGGUCUGAGAGGAUGAUCCGCCACACUGGGACUGAGACACGGCCCAGACUCCUACGGGAGGCAGCAGUGGGGAAUAUUGGACAAUGGGGGGAACCCUGAUCCAGCCAUGCCGCGUGUGUGAAGAAGGCCUUAUGGUUGUAAGGCACUUUAAGCGAGGAGGAGGCUCUUUUGGUUAAUACCCAAGAUGAGUGGACGUUACUCGCAGAAUAAGCACCGGCUAACUCUGUGCCAGCCGCCGCGGUAA